rnacentral:rRNA from 1 species
GGGUUGUGAGGUUAAGCGACUAAGCGUACACGGUGGAUGCCCUGGCAGUCAGAGGCGAUGAAGGACGUGCUAAUCUGCGAUAAGCGCCGGUAAGGUGAUAUGAACCGUUAUAACCGGCGAUUUCCGAAUGGGGAAACCCAGUGUGACUCGUCACACUAUCAUUAACUGAAUCCAUAGGUUAAUGAGGCGAACCGGGGGAACUGAAACAUCUAAGUACCCCGAGGAAAAGAAAUCAACCGAGAUUCCCCCAGUAGCGGCGAGCGAACGGGGAGGAGCCCAGAGCCUGAAUCAGCAUGUGUGUUAGUGGAAGCGUCUGGAAAGGCGCGCGAUACAGGGUGACAGCCCCGUACACAAAAGCGCAUGUGUUGUGAGCUCGAUGAGUAGGGCGGGACACGUGGUAUCCUGUCUGAAUAUGGGGGGACCAUCCUCCAAGGCUAAAUACUCCUGACUGACCGAUAGUGAACCAGUACCGUGAGGGAAAGGCGAAAAGAACCCCGGCGAGGGGAGUGAAAAAGAACCUGAAACCGUGUACGUACAAGCAGUGGGAGCCCCACCACUAAGCCAGUGGUGAACUCCACAUACGCAUCCUUUGCUGAAGGUGCGGUUAACGGAGCGCAAGCGACGUUCAACCUCAAAAGAAGCAGAGGGGGCUUAGUGGUGGGGUGACUGCGUACCUUUUGUAUAAUGGGUCAGCGACUUAUAUUCUGUAGCAAGGUU